CAGUCCCGCGGGAAUACGAAGGGGGCUAGCGUUGUUCGGAUUUACUGGGCGUAAAGGGCGCGUAGGCGGACUGAUAAGUCAGGGGUGAAAUCCCAAGGCUCAACCUUGGAACUGCCUUUGAUACUGUUUGUCUUGAGUUCGAGAGAGGUAAGUGGAACUGCGAGUGUAGAGGUGAAAUUCGUAGAUAUUCGCAAGAACACCAGUGGCGAAGGCGGCUUACUGGCUCGAAACUGACGCUGAGGCGCGAAAGCGUGGGGAGCAAACAGGAUUAGAUACCCCCGUAGUCCCUGUCUCUUAUACA
rnacentral:rRNA from 1 species